rnacentral:rRNA from 1 species
CCUACGGGUGGCAGCAGUAGGGAAUCUUUCACAAUGGGCGAAAGCCUGAUGGAGCGACGCCGCGUGCAUGAAGAAGGCUUUCGGUUUGUAAACCCCUUUUGUAAGCGAGGAAUAUGAUGGUAACUUAUGAAUAAGCAUCGGCUAACUACGUGCCAGCAGCCGCGGUCAUACGUAGGAUCCGAGCAUUAUCCGGGGUGACUGGGUGUAAAGAGUUGCGUAAGUGGGAUAAUAAGUAGCUAGUGAAAUCUGGUGGCUCAACCACUCAGACUAUUCGCUCAACUGUUAAGCUCGAGACCGUGAGGGGUAGCUGGAAUUUCUAGUGUAGGAGUGAAAUGCGUAGAUAUUAGAAGGAACACCAAUAGCGUAGGCAGGUUACUGGGACGGUACUGACGCUGAGGCACGAAGGCGUAGGGAGCAAACGGGAUUAGAUACCCCUGUAGUC